rnacentral:tRNA from 1 species
GGCCCUAUCGUCUAGCUGGCCGAGGACGCCGCCCUCUCACGGCGGUAACACGGGUUCGAAUCCCGUUGGGGCUA